AUAUAUAUAUAUAUAUAUAUAUCAGCUUAUCCUCCUAAGUUGAAAUACUACAUCAGAAAUAUGGCUACAUCUCAGCUUACCAAAACCAAUAUUAUUGUGCCUCUUCUUUUCUGCUUCCUUUUCAUUGCAGCCUUUGAGAUGGAAAGCGCAGAAGCAACAUGUUGGGUUGCCUCAAAAACUUGGAACGAGGACUGCAACGGUAAUUCUUGCAAAAAUUGGUGUGACUCCCAAAUCAAUGGUCGUUACUACUGGAAGUGUGAGAAAUCCUGCGGAAAAAGCUAUUAUUCUUGUGGUUGCUACAAGGAUUGCUGAUAUGAUUAUAUAUGCAUGGGAAUAUAUUAUAAUCAAAUCGAAGGAACCAAUGUUUAUACUGCAUGGGUUGAUUAUGAAACAAAAAUAUUAUCAUACAAAUAAAAUCUAUAUAUAAUUAUAUGAAUUGGACAAGCUAGCUUGUUGUCCUUCUGUUGUGUGUAAUAGUGUAUGUUGUUGUACUGUGUACUAUCAAUAAGACGUAUUUGCAUCUUUUAUUAUUGUGUAAUAAAAGAUAUAUGUAUAGAUAUAAUGGUUGUUGUAACGUGUACUAUCAAAUAAGACGCAUUUGCAUCUUUUAUU